AGAGUUUGAUCAUGGCUCAGAUUGAACGCUGGCGGCAUGCCUUACACAUGCAAGUCGAACGGGGGUAGCAAUACCCUAGUGGCGAACGGGUGAGUAGUGCAUCGGAACGUGCCCAAUUGUGGGGGAUAACGUAGCGAAAGUUACGCUAAUACCGCAUAAGUCCUGAGGGAGAAAGCGGGGGGAUCUUCGGACCUCGCGCGAUUGGAGCGGCCGAUGUCGGAUUAGCUAGUUGGUAGGGUAAAAGCCUACCAAGGCGACGAUCCGUAGCUGGUCUGAGAGGAUGAUCAGCCACACUGGGACUGAGACACGGCCCAGACUCCUACGGGAGGCAGCAGUGGGGAAUUUUGGACAAUGGGCGCAAGCCUGAUCCAGCCAUGCCGCGUGAGUGAAGAAGGCCUUCGGGUUGUAAAGCUCUUUCGGCCGGGAAGAAAACGCACGGGUUAAUAACCUGUGUGGAUGACGGUACCGGAAGAAUAAGCACCGGCUAACUUCGUG
rnacentral:rRNA from 1 species